UACGUAGGGUGCAAGCGUUGUCCGGAAUUAUUGGGCGUAAAGAGCUCGUAGGCGGUGUGUCGCGUCGGCCGUGAAAACCUGCAGCUUAACUGUGAGCGUGCUUCCGAUACGGGCAGACUUGAGGUAUUCAGGGGAGAACGGAAUUCCUGGUGUAGCGGUGAAAUGCGCAGAUAUCAGGAGGAACACCGGUGGCGAAGGCGGUUCUCUGGGAAUAUCCUGACGCUGAGGAGCGAAAGUGUGGGGAGCGAACAGG
rnacentral:rRNA from 1 species